rnacentral:rRNA from 1 species
ACGGCUCAGUAACACGUAGUCAACAUGCCCAGGGGACGUGGAUAACCUCGGGAAACUGAGGAUAAACCGCGAUAGGCCAUGAUUUCUGGAAUGGUUCAUGGCUGAAAUCUAUAUGGCCCCUGGAUUGGACUGCGGCCGAUCAGGCUGUUGGUGAGGUAAUGGCCCACCAAACCUGUAACCGGUACGGGCUCUGAGAGGAGGAGCCCGGAGAUGGGCACUGAGACAAGGGCCCAGGCCCUAUGGGGCACAGCAGGCGCGAAAUCUCUGCAAUAGGCGAAAGCUUGACAGGGUUACUCUGAGUGGUUCCCGUUAAGGGGAUCUUUUGGCACCUUUAAAAAUGGUGCAGAAUAAGGGGUGGGCAAGUCUGGUGUCAGCCGCCGCGGUAAUACCAGCACCCCGAGUGGUCGGGACGAUUAUUGGGCCUAAAGCAUCCGUAGCCGGUACUGCAAGUCUUCCGUUAAAUCCACCUGCUUAACAGUUGGGCUGCGGGGGAUACUACAGCGCUAGGAGGCGGGAGAGGCAAGCGGUACUCAAUGGGUAGGGGUAAAAUCCGCUGAUCCAUUGAAGACCACCAGUGGCGAAGGCGGCUUGCCAGAACGCGCUCGACGGUGAGGGAUGAAAGCUGGGGGAGCAAACCGGAUUAGAUACCCGGGUAGUCCCAGCUGUAAACGAUGCAGACUCGGUGAUGGGCUGGCCUUGUGCCAGCCCAGUGCCGCAGGGAAGCCGUUAAGUCUGCCGCCUGGGGAGUACGGUCGCAAGACUGAAACUUAAAGGAAUUGGCGGGGGAGCAC